rnacentral:rRNA from 1 species
UACGUAGGCAGCAAACGUUGUUCGGAGUUACUGGGCGUAAAGAGUACGUAGGCGGUUUGCCAAGUUUGGUGUGAAAUCUCCUGGCUUAACUGGGAGGGUGCGCCGAAUACUGGCGGGCUUGAGUAUUGGAGAGGGUAGCAGAAUUCACGGUGUAGCAGUGAAAUGCGUAGAUAUCGUGAGGAAUACCAGAGGCGAAGGCGGCUACCUGGACAAUUGCUGACGCUCAGGCACGAAAGCGUGGGGAGCAAAAGGG